rnacentral:rRNA from 1 species
UAUGUGAUCGUCUCUCGCAUAUCAAUAAGCGGAGGAAAAGAAACUAACAAGGAUUCCCCUAGUAACGGCGAGUGAAGCGGGAAGAGCUCAAAUUUGAAAUCUUAAAGGGUUUCCCUUUACGAAUUGUAGUUUAAAGAAGUGUUUUCUGAUUGAGGUUUUGGUAAAAGUCCUUUGGAAUAGGACAUCAUAGAGGGUGAGAAUCCCGUAUUUGACCUUUACUUUCAACUUUGUGAUACACUUUCAAAGAGUCGGAUUGUUUGGGAAUGCAGUCCAAAAUGGGUGGUAAAUUUCAUCUAAAGCUAAAUAUUGGCGAGAGACCGAUAGCGAACAAGUACCGUGAGGGAAAGAUGAAAAGAACUUUGAAAAGAGAGUUAAACAGUACGUGAAAUUGUCAAAAGGGAAGCGUUUGACACCAGUGUUGUUUUUCUGAAAAUCAAUUAAAGAACUGUUUAUGCUAAGCUGUUUAGACUUUAUCAGCUAUCUGUUUAGUUUGAGCUUAUCUUUAAUGCACUUUUCAGUUAACAAGUCAACAUCAAUUUCUUUUGCUGUAAAAAAGCUUGAGGAAGGUGGCUUGAGAUUCGUCUUAAGUGUUUAUAGCCUCUUGCCUAUGCAGUCGGAGAGAUUGAGGUCUGCAGCGUAGAUCCUUCGGGGCUAAAUGCAUUUGUGCUAAGUUAUAGCAUUUUAUAGACAACUUGUUGACUAUGAUUUGUCUUGUAGCUUACUCGCUUAUGUUAUUUUACCUACGCUUAGGAUGUUGAGCGCAUGUCUCUCUCU